rnacentral:rRNA from 1 species
CGGACGGGUGAGUAAUGUCUGGGAAACUGCCCGAUGAGGGGGAGUAACUACUGGAAACGGUAGCUAAUACCGCAUAAUGUCGCAAGACCAAAGAGGGGGACCUUCGGGCCUCUUGCCAUCGGAUGUGCCCAGAUGGGAUUAGCUAGUAGGUGGGGUAACGGCUCACCUAGGCGACGAUCCCUAGCUGGUCUGAGAGGAUGACCAGCCACACUGGAACUGAGACACGGUCCAG